UAACUACGUGCCAGCAGCCGCGGUAAUACGUAGGGUGCGAGCGUUAUUCGGAAUUACUGGGCGUAAAGCGUGCGCAGGCGGUUUCGUAAGACAGACGUGAAAUCCCCGGGCUCAACCUGGGAACUGCGUUUGUGACUGCGAGGCUAGAGUACGGCAGAGGGGGGUAGAAUUCCACGUGUAGCAGUGAAAUGCGUAGAGAUGUGGAGGAAUACCGAUGGCGAAGGCAGCCCCCUGGGUUAGUACUGACGCUCAUGCACGAAAGCGUGGGGAGCAAACAGGAUUAGAUACCCUGGUAGUCCACGCCCUAAACGAUGUCAACUAGGUGUUGGAAGGGUUAAACCUUUUAGUACCGCAGCUAACGCGUGAAGUUGACCGCCUGGGGAGUACGGCCGCAAGGUUAAAACUCAAAGGAAUUGACGGGGACCCGCACAAGCGGUGGAUGAUGUGGAUUAAUUCGAUGCAACGCGAAAAACCUUACCUACCCUUGACAUGCCAGGAACUUUCCAGAGAUGGAUUGGUGCCCGAAAGGGAGCCUGGACACAGGUGCUGCAUGGCUGUCGUCAGCUCGUGUCGUGAGAUGUUGGGUUAAGUCCCGCAACGAGCGCAACCCUUGUCAUUAAUUGCCAUCAUUCAGUUGGGCACUUUAAUGAGACUGCCGGUGACAAACCGGAGGAAGGUGGGGAUGACGUCAAGUCCUCAUGGCCCUUAUGGGUAGGGCUUCACACGUCAUACAAUGGUCGGUACAGAGGGUUGCCAAGCCGCGAGGUGGAGCCAAUCCCAGAAAGCCGAUCGUAGUCCGGAUCGCAGUCUGCAACUCGACUGCGUGAAGUCGGAAUCGCUAGUAAUCGCGGAUCAGCAUGUCGCGGUGAAUACGUUCCCGGGUCUUGUACACACCGCCCGUCACACCAUGGGAGUGGGUUCUACCAGAAGUAGUUAGCCUAACCGUAAGGAGGGCGAUUACCACGGUAGGAUUCAUGACUGGGGUGAAGUCGUAACAAGGUAGCCG
rnacentral:rRNA from 1 species